rnacentral:rRNA from 1 species
CAGUCGAACGAAGCACUUUGCUUGAUCCCUUCGGGGUGAUUGCUUUGUGACUGAGUUGCGGACGGGUGAGUAACGCGUGGGUAACCUGCCUCAUACAGGGGGAUAACAGCUGGAAACGGCUGCUAAUACCGCAUAAGCGCACAGUACCGCAUGGUACGGUGUGAAAAACUCCGGUGGUAUGGGAUGGACCCGCGUCUGAUUAGCCAGUUGGCGGGGUAACGGCCCACCAAAGCGACGAUCAGUAGCCGACCUGAGAGGGUGACCGGCCACAUUGGGACUGAGACACGGCCCAAACUCCUACGGGAGGCAGCAGUGGGGAAUAUUGCACAAUGGGGGAAACCCUGAUGCAGCGACGCCGCGUGAGCGAAGAAGUAUUUCGGUAUGUAAAGCUCUAUCAGCAGGGAAGAAGAAAUGACGGUACCUGACUAAGAAGCCCCGGCUAACUACGUGCCAGCAGCCGCGGUAAUACGUAGGGGGCAAGCGUUAUCCGGAUUUACUGGGUGUAAAGGGAGCGCAGGCGGAUGGCUAAGUCUGAUGUGAAAGCCCGGGGCUCAACCCCGGGACUGCAUUGGAAACUGGUUAUCUUGAGUGUCGGAGAGGUAAGUGGAAUUCCUAGUGUAGCGGUGAAAUGCGUAGAUAUUAGGAGGAACACCAGUGGCGAAGGCGGCUUACUGGACGACAACUGACGCUGAGGCUCGAAAGCGUGGGGAGCAAACAGGAUUAGAUACCCUGGUA